UUUGGCGCUAUAUAAAUAAAAUUGAAUUGAAUUGAAUUAUUCACAAAUGAAGGGAGAACAGAGCGGGAGGUUGACAGACAGAUUGGGGCUCUGUUGUUUUGAAGUAAGAGUUAAGCAUAAAAGUGAAGCUGUUGAUUUAUCUGUCAAUCUACCUCCCCACCAUCAACUAUGGUCGUGAGCUUUAGAUAGUGACAGAAAGAAUGAGAUGGCAGAUAUAAGUGACAAAAUAACCCUUCUCUGAAGGGUAGGCAGCCUUUGCCUUUGUGAUAGGAUGAAGAGUUCAGUCAUUGGGGAGGCAUUUGGAUUAGAGACACUGCUCCUUCACAUCGAAAGGAGGCAGCUGAUGUGAUUCUGGCAUGUGAUUUGGAUGCCUUCUGGACACCACCUGCAUGAGGUGUUUUAGGCAUGUCCUGGAGGUAGGAGGCCCCAGGGCAAACCGAGGGCUCGGUGGAGAGAUUACAUUUCACAGUUGGCUUGGAAAUAAUUCAGUUUUCCCCCAGAUGAGCUGGAAGAGGUGGCUGGCAAAAGGGAGGUCUAAGUUUCUCUCCUUAGAUUGACCAAACCCAUGACUUUGAACGUGGAUAUAUAGGACAGGGAGGAUAAAUAAAAGGAUGUUACAUUAAACCAGUGGUUUCCAAACCUUUUUUUUUUUUUUUUUUUUUUUUUUUUGCUAGGCCCCUGUUUGUUUUACAAGAAAAUCUUCGCAGCCCCCCGGCACAAACACAUUCUCAAACCACACACAGCCAUUUAUUGUUUUCAAACUCCACUGCAGUUUCUUUCACACCUCAAACCUUUAAAAAACCAAAAGCAAACAAAUAAAAGUAAACUACAAUAAAUUAAAGGUUGGAACAAAAUAAACUAAUACCAUCUUUAUUUUAAGCGUAGUUGUUUCAUUCCCCGUUUGUAAGAAUAAUUUUUCAAAACAUGCCUCUCUGUGCAAAGUGGGUUUAAAAACAUAAAACGUGAUUUGGACAGGGGAAAUGGGUUUUGGUUUAGACACAAAUACAUAUGAUUUAAAAAAAAUCUUCUUGUGAUCACACAUACUUCUUUUUGUGCCUCUAAAACAUCCUCGUUUGUCUUUCCAGAACAGACAUAUGAUGUCGUAACUGUCGGAGCACCGGCCUCUCACUGCCAGGGUUUCUAAAAAUGGCGUUCUGAGGAAGCUCAUCCAGAAGUUUGAGGAAGCAAAGAAACACGUAAAUGAGGAGGAAUGUAGUGCCCUCUCCAGCUCAGUCAUCAUCCACAUACCCCAGGACACUGUCCGAGCCAAAGAGAUCAUCGCCCACGUCAACACGCAGAAGACUCAGGUCAGCUAUUAUGCAGAGGCUAUCUCAAGCUGCCAAAGACCAAUCGCUCGCCAGUCUGGCUGACAAGACCCGUCAGCUGGUGACAGUGUGCGGCUGCAAGCUGCUAGCUUCAGCUAUUUAGGCCCUGAACGCAGUACGGGGCGAGUACAUCGCAACCAAAGCUUCUCCUUCCGCUGAGUCUGAACAAGUAGUGCUCCGCAAUGACCAGGAUACGCUGAGAGCAAAGUACAGCGGUCACAACAGCCAGUCGUCACUGCACGUGGACUGGCACGAAGAGGAGUGGGCCACGCCCACGGACUACAGAGCCACGAUGAGCAACAAAGCCAAGAAGUCUAUGGACUUCCUGCUGAUGCAGGACACCGCCCCGACGAUAGCCACGGACGUGUCACUGCAGUACCGCCUCGACAUCGUCUUCUGCCAAACGGUCACCUACACAUAUUUUAAUUAUUGAAUGUCUGAGCUGAUGCGUUUAUCCUGCAGUGACUCAGAGUGAAGGAGAAGGCCAAGAAGAAGUGUAAAUAUCAUAAAAGCAAGGAGUUCAGAGCUCUACGACUUAGUGUCUUUAUGGUAUUUAUGUGUGUAAUGGAGACCAGGGGUUCCAUUACCCUUACUUGUAUUUUUAUUAAUUGACUGACUGAUUUGUAUUUAAAAACCAUAAUGAAGAAAAACACACACUGGUUGAUUGUGAUCUUUAUUAGGUUUUUUGGGUUGUUAUUUAAGUGACUCGUGAAAGGUGAAGAGACAGGGGGACUGGCCAUCCUACCUGUGUCAGGAAAAGAACCCGUGUUAGAGCUGUUCACAUUUAAACAUUUGUCUAUAACCUAAAUUAGUUGUUUAUGUAAAAAGAGAAGUGUUAACAGUACUCACUUUGUAAAGAGUAAAAGCAGCUCAAUCACCUGCUUAUGAGCUCCUGGAGCAAACCAAUGUGCCAGGCUAGGGGAGUGUGUGUUGGAGUGAUUUUGUUAAAAGUUGUCAUUAUUGUGCUUGGACCUUGUCUUAAACUGUAUGUUCAGAUAUUUUUCUGUUCCUCCCCCACAUGUAGGAUGUUGGGGAUGUUACUAGCUAUAGUUUUCAACUGCAGGCACAAUCUAUGUAAGAUUCUGGUUUCCUUAUUUGGUAAGGAAUGUUCACUUCCUGCCCUUUACAGUAUGGGCUCACCAUGUAAAUGGUGGACUGUUAAAGAGGUUAAGCCAUAUACGAGGUUGAGGGGAGAUACCCUUUUAUGACUAGAGAUGCGGUUAGAACGUUUGUAACCAGGAAGUCACGUAUACACACACACACACACACACACACACACACACACACACACACACACACACACACACACACACACACACACAGUGCCUUAGCUUUUACCACACAACAUAUGGGGUUUACAAUGGGCGGUUGUGUAACUGUUUUCAUUCAAUAAAAGGCUGGAGUUGGA